rnacentral:rRNA from 1 species
AAGGGUGCGUAGGCGGCCUGUUAAGUCAGGGGUGAAAGACGGUAGCUCAACUAUCGCAGUGCCCUUGAUACUGAUGGGCUUGAAUUGACUAGAGGUAGGCGGAAUGUGACAAGUAGCGGUGAAAUGCAUAGAUAUGUCACAGAACACCGAUUGCGAAGGCAGCUUACUAUGGUCUUAUUGACGCUGAGGCACGAAAGCGUGGGGAUCAAACAGGAUUAGAUACCCCUUGU